GGGGACGACAUGGCUUCGACGCAGGUCGCGAAACUCCAGGUGCAUGCCGAGGAUGUCACUCAACCUCGUUAAUCAUGUGACAAAAAAG
rnacentral:tmRNA from 1 species